UGGGAAACAUGGUGGUGGCAGCAUCAUGAUGUGAAGCAUGGUGGUGGCAGCAUCAUGAUGGGAAACAUGGUGGUGGCAUUAUCAUGAUGUCAGAUUGCUUUUUGGCAGCAGGUCCUGAAAGGCUUGUAAAGGUAAAAGGAAAACAGCAAAGUCUAGAGAAAUCUUGGAACAACCUGAUGCAGUCUGAAGAGAAGAUUUGUUUUCCAGCAUGAUAAUGACUCGAAGCAAACACCCAAAGAUACUCAGAAAUGGUUUCAAGACAACAAAGUGAAUGUUCUGGAACCGAGUCAGAGUCCAGACCUUAAUCAAGUUGAGAAUUUCUGUUUGGACUUGAAAAGUUCUGUUCUUCCACAGUCUUCAUAUACCCUGACAGAGCUGGAGCAGUUUUGCAAAGUAGAAUAGGGUGAAAUUGCAGCAUCCAGAUGUUCAGGCUGAUUGAGAGAUAUCCACCCAGACUCAAUGCUCUGGUGCAUCUAUAUGGAAGCAAAUCAGACUCAUCAGAUUCUGAAUUUUAAAAGCUGCAGAAUUUCUUACUUUGAAUUUUUUUGCAUCAAAAUCACGUAUGUGAAUUUUUUAUGCCUGAAUUUAGCUCAUCAAAAUUCUAAAAAACCAGUUAAAAAUUCAAUGUCUUCAAAAUUCACCAUCAAAAAAUUCAAUGUUCAAAAUUCGCCAUCAAAAAAUUCAAUGUUCAAAAUUCGCCGUCAAAAAAUUCGCUGUUCACAUCCGGGGGACUCAGACGUAAACAAUCGAUCCUGGCCAAAAUCGAACCAACGCCCAGCCAAUCACGUGGCGCUCCUCCGGUCAUGUGACGCAGACGGUUCACCUCACAAGACCGGGGUCAACCACGGCUACCAGCAUGAACGACGGCGCUUCACAACACCGUCUGAACUGACCAGUCUGGUGAAAUUCUGGACUGGAUGGGAGACUCUACCAAGAACUCUCUCCUCAGAAGUAGUGAAUGGCAGAUACCUGACAGCCUCCACCUGCUAUGAGACCUUACAUUCCCAGGACAUUACAAGGACCCAUGUAGCGAGGACCCGAUGCCAGGUCCAGUGGACAGACUUCAGAUGUCUCUGUGUGUUCGGUCCUGUCUCUGGUUGCCUGGUUACAGACGCUGCUGCACCUGCUCGUUUAAAAAUGUCUACACCUGAAACUCCAUCACGUCUAAAGAAGCAAGAACGUUUGCAAAUGUACAGACUGGAGUAGGAAGAGUGGAACCCCUGGCAAUGGAUACAAGGCAAACUGUGUUUUCUGUUGCUCAUGGACUGGCUGAAGUAAGGCAGCAUCAGGAGACAAACAUGGAGGACAUAUGAGAACAGAGAGAACCCAACCAGCAGGUCACAGUUUAUCAUCAUCUAAUCAUCUCCUGAAGUCCAUAUGGUCCCUCUCUAUCUCCCCACACAUCCACCAACCACUAGAACACAUCUCCAAAGUUCUGCUGGGCCAGCUCAGCUUCCCCUCAGAAGAAGUGCUGCCACCUGCCAGAUGAAGGAGCCUUUUGAGAGGCAGCUGGCAUCGUGACUGGACUGUACUUUGGUCUGUUCCAAUCCAGCUUCAGCUCCAGAGACGGCAGGCGGGACGAGUCAACGGAGGCCGGGUGGACGAAGACAUGCAGCUGAGUACAAUGCAGAAAACAACAGAGGAGGAGUGCAGCAGCCCAGAGCCAGAGCAACCAGAGUAGCAUCACCAAAGAACUACAGACUCUUCACAACCUGCUCAAACUCUUGGUACAGGACUUCACCACAUGGGUCAAGAAGGUUUCUGUCUCAUUUCUACUCUGAAGCUCACCUUCUCCUGCUCAAACUGCUGACAAAUGUUUCUGCUGCUCUAAAGUCUGGUCUCCAGAACUUCCUAAAAACUCUCAAAGUCUCUUCUGCUGCAGGUUGCUUUGUAGAACUGUUCCAGAAAACCUCACUAAACCACAUGGAGGGGCCUCAAGAUAGUCGUCCAAAUGAAACCAUACAAAAACCAAACUAGCACAACCCAAACGCUAAAGUCUCCUGCAGCCUACCAGAGAACCUCUGAGAACAGAGAAUCAUGACAGGAACUCUUACCUUCUGGACAACCAACGUUGGUUCUCAAACAAGAAUACAGAAUGUGUCUGACCAAAAACCUCUAAAGACUCACUACAGCCAAGAUAAAGACACAACUCACCUGCACCAAAUCCACUAAUCACUGCACACAUUAGCACCAGGUGCUAACUGUGGCUAAAGAACCACAUUUACCAAGACAACUAUCCAGUACAAAGCCCUAAAACACACCAAGAAACACAUUAAAUAUGAUUUUACUGCUGGAAGCUGCAAGCCAACGCCUAAAGAACAAAUUAAAGCAAUGGAGCCAAACCCAGUUCACUGGUGAAGAGAAACAGAGGAAAUGUUUGCCUGCAGCUAAAUAAAGCAGGAAGACACUGAGCUGCUCAGGUGUUCCUGAUAACACCAAGCAGCCACCUGGACAGCCAAUAGGAACACAGCUUCCUGGAAGUCCAGAGGGCUGGGUUAGUCAAGGAAAUUUAGUUUAAAGUUGAAGCAGAAAGUUAACAAAGAAAGUUGAAAACCACCUUCUGAUCCCUGAAAUCUCUGAGUUUUCACACAAAGAACACCUGAACAUGUCAAACUGGUUCCAUAGCAGAACCGUCAUUGUAAAAAUGUCAUAUUAUGGUGUGUUGCUCAAAAAACAUUAGGACCCGGCUGUCUAGGGUCACCGAGGAGCAACACAAAAACAGGACAAACGCUGGUUUCCAGGGGGUUAGGAGGCUAUUUACUUGAAAGAGGAAGUCUGUCUUUAGUUCAGCUGAAAAUAUUAGUUUUUGUCUCUUUUAUUGACCAAACUUAUCAGGAAGUAGAUGAAGAAUAAUUAAAGCUCUCAUGUAGAAGUCCAACUUAUUUUGGAUCCUUGUGAAGAGUUUAACUUUAGAGUUUGUAAAGCUGUUGAGUUUUUAGAGUCACAUGGAUUGUUUUGACAUUUAAUAACUGAGUCCUGAAAUAAAAUUACAUUUGUAGAUUUCUGUCAUUUAGUCUGGACUAAACAAACAAACAGCAGCAUAAAUCUCAAAUGUCAUUAUGAGGAGUCUGGAUUGAGGUUUCUCACUUGAUAAUGAUCAAAACAUGAAAUUUAGGUUGGUUUAAAGGAAUAUUCCACCUUAAAUCUUUGAAUGUUGACCUAAAAGGUUGGUUUCAGGAAGUAUUCCACCUACAAGGUCCUCAAACAUCCACCUUAAAGGAAGAUUCCACCAAAAAUCCUUGGACAUGCACCUAAAAUGUUGGUUUAACCAAGUAUUCCAUCCAAAAUCCUCAAAGAGACCUGAGGGGCUGGUUAAAAGGAAUAUUCCACCUAAAAUCUGAAAGGGUGUGUUAGAAAAAAAUCCUUCAAUGUAGACCAAAAAAGUUAGUAUGGAGGAAUAUUCCACCUGAAAUGUAGACCUGAGAAGUUGGUUUGGAAAUAUAUACCAUCCUAAACAUCCUUACAUGUAGACUAAAAGAUGGUUUUGAAGAAAAUUCCACCUAAAAUCCUCCAAUGUAGACCUAAAAGGUGAGUUUAAUGCUAUAUUCCACCUAAAAUUCACUACUGUAGACCUUGGAGGUUGGUCUGAUGGUAUAUUCCACCCAACAUCCUUGAACAUAAACUUAAAAAGUUCGUUCAAAGGAAUAUUCCACCCAAAAUCCUUCAAUGUAGACCAAAAAAUCUUGGUGUAAAGGAGUAUUCCACCUUAAAUGUAGACCUAAAGGAUGGUUUGGAGUAAUAUUCGACUCUAAAAUCUUCCAAUGUAGACCUAAAAGGUUUAUCUGAUGGUAUAUUCUACCCAACAUCUUGGAACAUUUUCCUAAAAGGUUGGUUUAAUGGUAUAUUCCCAGAAGAACCCUUGAACAUUGGGCUUAAUGGUAUAUUCCACCCAAAAUACCAAGAAGUCAGUGUAAAGGAAAUGUAGACCUAAAAGGUUUGUUUAAAGGAAUAUUUAAACGAUUACUUUCAUUAUUUAAUAAUCUGUUAUCAGUCAGAACCCUGUCAAACUUAUUUUCUUCAGUUUUUUAGUGGAAGUCACAAAUAAAGGAGCUCUUGGUUUUUCCCGGCGUUACUGAGUCCAAAGCUGCUGUUUCAACACAGAACAUUCACAUGCAUCCACAAACCUCUCAGCACUCAAACACCCACAGACAGGAGGCCGGCUGGACCGAGGCUCAGCGGCGUCCUCAGACCCACGAGUCGGGGAGUCUGUGAACUUGUUGGUCCAGUUUGAAGGCCUCCAUGUGGUCCAGUAGAAGUCCACGUAGUCGGUGUUGGCUUUGAACCACAGCGACUGGCCGCCAUCAGGUGGACCGGCUCGUCCUCUUAGGACUCCUCCUGUAGCCUUGAGGGAACCACAGGAACAUUCAGUAGCUGUUGCAGUUCUUCCUGUCAGGCUCAUGGUAGAACGGCUCUGAAGAAUCUUGUACUCGUCUUAUCUGGAACAAUCUAACAGCCUAAACUGUUAACAGCAGUGUAAAGAAGCAAACACACAAGCAUUGAUUAGGACACAAACUAGAUUUAUUUUAGAAAACAAAUCAGCUUAGAGGCAUUUGUUCACACAUGUGGCUGAAUAGGAGGCCGUCCAAUCAGAUUCGAGGUCUUCACUCUGUAGGUUGUUUGUUGGGUGAGACUCUUGGACCUCCAUCAGCUGACGUGGAUGUUUGAUGGUCUUCCUCUCUAGUGCCAGAUGAUUCAUCCAUGAAUUCAGCAGCUACAGACUGAAAUGAAGCUCAUGCUGCCGUGAUUGAAUUCCUGUUCCAGAUCAAAUGUUCAGAGCUCACCUUGAAUGCAGCCGUCUGCUGUCUGAUAGUUUUUCUCAUUGUAGUCUUCAAUAAAGUCUUUUUCCUCA